GAUUAACGCUGGCGGCGUGCAUAACACAUUCAAGUCGAACGGUCUGUAGCAAUACAGAUAGUGGCGGACGGGUGAGUAACGCGUGAGCAGUCUACCCCCCAGUACGGGAUAACAACCGGAAACAGUUGCUAAUACCGUAUGAAAUGGCAGUACCACAUGGUACAACCAUCAAAGAUUUAUUGCUGGGAGAUGAGCUUGCGUCUGAUUAGGUAGUUGGUGAGGUAACGGCCCACCAAGCCGACGACCAGUAGCCGGUCUGAGAGGAUGAACGGCCACAUUGGGACUGAGACACGGCCCAG
rnacentral:rRNA from 1 species